UCUCUCUCUCUCUCUCUGUCUAUCUAUAUAAUUUCUCCUAGGCCUGGUAGGACACACACACACACACACACACACACACACACACACACACACACACACACACACACACACACACACACACACACACACACACACACACACACACACACACACACACACACACACACACAUUAAGGCACAGUUUGGCUUCACCCUCCUCGUUCUUUCCAGUCUUAAGCCCCUCGCGAGUAAUGACCUUGAAACCUUGACACACGGGGAGCCAAGGGGAAAUGAUUUACUUUGCCUCUCCCCUCCAUCAGGUGUGCCCAGGUUAACUGAGUGAUCAACCGGGAAGGAGAAGCGCACACUCCACUCACCUGCCUCACUUUGCCCAGACUGGAAAUGGGCUCCAAAAACGACACGGAGGAAUGAGGAGUCAGGACGAAAAAGCCACGUCGAGUCGCUUCUCCUGAACAGAACAAGGCGAAGCAGAACCGAAAAGGACACAGUUAAGAGAAACACUCUGGAGAACCUGGCCAAUCAUCUCUGUGGCCUUCGGAAAUAGUCGUGGUGAAAGAGCUGAGGGUUUCUGAGUCCAAGCCCCUGAAUGAAGACAGAGCCACCGAGGCAAGUUUCACGCAGCCCUAACCCCGCCCCGGCCUGGCCCGCCCCGUCCCGCCCCGCCCCGCCCCGUCCCGUCCCGUCUUAACUGCAUUCGGCAAUGGAAAGGUGUGCACGAGUAAUUCAGGUGCAACAGUCACAGGGGCGGGUUCCGAGCGGCGGUGCAUGAGGAGGUACUUCUGAGGGCGUGACACUUUAAGUACAGCUAACGAAGGAGUCGCUGCAAAAGGACGCUUGGAAGGAAGAGGCUCUGGUUGACUGGUCGAUUUGUAAGCCUUUUAACUAAACUCCUACUUUUUUAAUGUUAUUCAUUGAUUUAACGACCAAAGUCUGUAAUCUCAAACAUUUCUGCGUCUUUCUGUAAUUACUUUCAAAAGGCGGCAGUGGAAGUCAUAGGGUUUUUUUUUAAGGGUGUUUUCAUAAUUAUAGGGUUCUGCAUCUUCAAUAAAGGAAAGCGUCAUAAUAA